ACGUUGUUCUAAAGUUCGGAGUGGUUUCGUUGUGGUUCUGAUGCCGUAUCGCGUUUCAGUAAUCUUUUACGGCAUCAGAACAACAACGAAACCACUCCGAACUUUAGAACAACGU